rnacentral:rRNA from 1 species
UACAGAGGGGCCAGCGUUAUUCGGAAUUAUUGGGCGUAAAGGGCGCGUAGGCGGCUUUGCGUGUCUUUCGUGAAAUCCCUCGGCUCAACUGAGGACGUGCGGAAGAAACUGCAGGGCUGGAGUCCGGGAGAGGAGGGUGGAAUUCCCAGUGUAGCGGUGAAAUGCGUAGAUAUUGGGAGGAACACCGGUGGCGAAGGCGGCCCUCUGGACCGGUACUGACGCUGAUGCGCGAAAGCGUGGGGAGCAA